AUCAUCAUAAUAUACAACUAUUAUUUGAAUUAUUCAACCCAUGAUGAUAAAUUAACUUUGAUCAAAAGAAGAACAACUUCGUAGUCUAAAGCAAGAUUAUGAAAAUGACAUAAUGUGCGAUGGUAAAGAUGUUGUGUACGAGCAACAAUAUGGAGUGAAACAGGUACCUCACGCCUUCUUCCUUACGACGACGCAAAAUAUGCCUGGGCUCGCAUUGAAGUCGGAUCAAUUGCUUCUAAACAGGGGCUCUAACCGUUGCGUUUCGGCUGUUUUAAUUAAUAGUAUUUAGUAACAGUCUACUAUAUUACUUAAAAAUUUAUAUUGUAAGUGUACAUAUAAUUUGUAAUCUUUAAUUAAGUAAUUUCGGCUAAAA